AUUGAAUCUUCUACUUAGGAGUAUUGAAUUGCUUAAUGAAAAAAACCUUAUUGGGAGGGGGACAAAACAUAAGAGUCUCUUAAAUAUGGAGAACAAACAGAGGGUUUCUGGAGGGGUUGUGGGAGGGAGGAUGGGCUAAAUGGGUAAGGGGCAUUAACGAAUCUACCCCUGAAAUCAUUGUUACACUGUAGGCUAACUAACUUGGAUGUCAAUUAAAAAAUAAAUAAAUUAUAAAAAAAAGAAAAUGACUUUUUUUUAACCUUUAGAACAACUUAGUGAAAGUAGAUUAUAGUCAAAAAAAGUUCCAUAGCUGAGAAAGCACCAAUAAAGAUUAUCUUUGUAGGUUCAGUAAACCUUGCAGGUCUCUGGUCUGAUACUUUCUAGUUCAUCUGCUUUAAUUAGUGGGUAAUAAGGUGCAUAUCAGAAAAACUGAAGUGAGGGAUCAUCAUUAAUAGUUUUCUAGGCUGCAAAACAAACACCUAAAUCUAGAGAUUGUUUUACCUUUUUUUUCCUUUAAAAAUGCGUAUUUAUUUAUUGAGAGAGAGAGAGAGAGAGAGAGAGAGAGAGAGAGAGAGAAUCCCCAGCAGGCUCCAUGUUGUCCACGUGGAGCCUAAUGCCAGGCUCAAUCUCCUGAACCAUGAGGUCAUGACCUGAGCCAGAACCAAGAGUCAGAUGCUUAACCAACUGAGCCACUCAGGUGCCCCAGAGACCCAGAGAUUGUUUUACUUUUGGGAAGUAAAAUGGCAAAAAUCCAUUCCUGGGAAGAAACAGUCCACAUCUUCUCUGGAUUCUUUGUAGUUUUAGUGACUUUGACAAAAAUUUCAGAGUCAUGUAACUUAUAUAUUAAAACAAUAAUGGCAAUCUUAAAUUGGGACUUCUUUUGUGAUAACAUUUCAUGUUCUGAUUGACGUUCUAGUCUAUAAGUCAAAUCAGUGAAGCUACAUUAAAAGGCAAGAGGCUGACAUUCAUUUAUUCAUUCUGUCAUUCACUCACUUGUCAUGUAUCCUGUGAUCACCUGCCCAGUGCCAGGCUCUGUUCUAUGUUUUUGGAAAUACGUUGUGGCAAAUUAGAAUAUGUUCCUGCUUUCUGGCACUCUUUUUGUUCCAAUGGGACUCACAGCUCAGUGUCCUAGGGUUGCAUAUGAUAUUGAGGAAAUUAAAAGUUGGUGAUGUGAUGAUGUCUGAGUGGCUACUUUAGUUUGUGUGGUGAGGGACAUAUUUAAGCUAAAAUUUGAAUGAUAAGAAGCAACUAUCCAUGCAAAGAUGAGGGAGAAGAAGGUCAUGGCUGAGGAAACCACCAGUCCUAGGUCUGCAGGGUGGGAAAGAGUUUGGUGGGUUUUAGGAAUAGAAAGAAGGUCAGAGUAGCUGGGGCACAGCAGAUGCUGGUAUAAAAUGAUAUUGGAGAAAAAUCGAGAUGUAAAUCUUUCUACAAAGUGUUACUGUGUUCUAAUCUUUAAAUACAUCCAUAACCUCAAAUGAGCUUCUGGUCCUAAAAUUACAUUUUGUGAAAUGUAACAAACUUAGGAAGGGGCAGUCAAGAAAGCAACUGUAUUUUUCCAUCCAUAAUGUGGUCUGUAAACAACAGAUUAUAUGGAUUUGAAAGUCCAAGGAUGGUGUCUUUUCCCCUCUAUGAUUGGAAGUAUUUUCGGUGUGUAUCAAGUGUUGGCAAACCUCAGAACAUCAGCUUGGUGUAUUUUACUCAAAACCAGAGAUUCUUGAAUCAUGGUACCUAACAGGAUAGAGGCUGGUGGCAGCAAUAAACUAAUCCAUUCCUGUAAUAAGAAACUACUGAACUCAGAAUUUCUUGUUUGAAAAACUCAGUUCUUUUGAGCAGUCGCUGGCUUUUAUUGCAUGGGCCUAGGAGGCAAAUCCUGUGGGUUCAAGUCCUGGCUUUCCCAUUUUUAGCUGUAUGGUUUUGGUCAGGGCCUUAUCUCUAGUAUCCUUAUUACUUCGUCUGUAAUUAGGGUGUUAGAAGUACUCAUCCCAUGGCAUUCAGGAGAAUGCCUUGAAAACAGUAAGCACUCAACAAGUGUUAGUUGUGUUUGUUGCCACUAUUCUUAUUUUUAUGCCCCUUUCUCCAACAAUCUUCUGAAAGUGUGUUGUCUCCUAAAGUUAGAUGCAGGGUGGCUGCUGAUAAAAGUCUUCUGCCCUUUAAUGGUCACUGGGAUGGGGGUGGGAGGACUCUGAGAUCUGUCCACUACAAUGUAAUUUCCACAUUCCACUCCUCUACUCGCUUUAGCAAAAACAAGGCCCAUUUCCCCAUCCUUUUUUUUUUUUUUUUUAAAAGAAAACAUUUAUUAAGCACCUACUAAUGUUAAACUCUGGGCUGAAAUGAAAACAAAUCCUUGUCUUCCAGGAGCUUUUGGUCUGGCUCCACAACUUUCAUUCACAAAGAAAUGGCAAGGAAAAAAAAAAAAAACAACAAAGGACAACAAAAAAACUUCUGCACUUUUAGAGUUUUUUAAUAUAGAUGAACCAAUUUGGAAUUGAUUAACGAACAUUCUUCUAUGCACACCCUUCUCACGUUGUACACAACAAACAUUCAGAGUGCCUGCAGUACUAAAUGUUGGAUGAAUAGGGGCGAACAAGAAAGAGAACAAAAUUCCACUUCUCCUAGAGAUCAUGGUGUGCUUGUUUGGCAUAGGCAUUUAAAUCCUGUCUCUGCUCCUCUCUAGAGGUAGGA